AGUGAACGCUGGCGGUAGGCCUAACACAUGCAAGUCGAACGGCAGCACAGUAAGAGCUUGCUCUUACGGGUGGCGAGUGGCGGACGGGUGAGGAAUACAUCGGAAUCUACUUUUUCGUGGGGGAUAACGUAGGGAAACUUACGCUAAUACCGCAUACGACCUACGGGUGAAAGCAGUGGAUCUUCGGACCUUGCGCGAUUGAAUGAGCCGAUGUCGCAUUAGCUAGUUGGCGGGGUAAAGGCCCACCAAGGCGACGAUCCGUAGCUGGUCUGAGAGGAUGAUCAGCCACACUGGAACUGAGACACGGUCCAGACUCCUACGGGAGGCAGCAGUGGGGAAUAUUGGACAAUGGGCGCAAGCCUGAUCCAGCCAUACCGCGUCGGUGAAGAAGGCCUUCGGGUUGUAAAGCCCUUUUGUUGGGAAAGAAAAGCAGCAGGUUAAUACCCCGCUGUUCUGACGGUACCCAAAGAAUAAGCACCGGCUAACUUCGUG
rnacentral:rRNA from 1 species